rnacentral:lncRNA from 1 species
GGUUAAUUAUCAACUAGGUCACUUGUUACGCUAGAAAAUAUCAAGUAAUUCACUGGCAAAUUUUUAGUCUCAUUUAAAUCACUAAAGUCAUUAAUAAUAUCAAAUAGAUACCUCUAAUAUCUUUUCGGGGAGUAAACUUUAUUUUUCAUUGAGUUUCACACAUUUUUCUUAGCUGUUAGUAUAAUCAAAUGAAAGGUUAUGAAUUCUAGUAUUUA